CGUGAGAUGUUGGGUUAAGUCCCGCAACGAGCGCAACCCCUAUUGUUAGUUGCUACGCAAAGAGCACUCUAGCGAGACUGCGUUGACAAAACGGAGGAAGGUGGGGACGACGUCAAAUCAUCAUGCCCCUUAUAUCCUGGGCUACACACGUAAUACAAUGGCGGUCAACAGAGGGAAGCAAAGCCGCGAGGCAGAGCAAACCCCCAAAAGCCGUCCCAGUUCGGAUUGUAGGCUGCAAACUCGCCUGCA
rnacentral:rRNA from 1 species